AUGGAGCCCAAUUACAACAACAGCCAGCUAUUGCCAGUAAAGGUUUUGGAUGCCAACUCUGUGCAAGACAUUGUAGAUCUUUGGCUGGGCUAAAAAGUCACAUUCGAUCACAGCACCAUUAAGUUAAGCCUCAUACAAUGGCCAUACUCGAUAACGAGGAGGCAGCCAUCAUCAUCAUAUAUAUAUAUAUAUAUAUAUAUAUAUAUAUAUGUCGAGUCCUUUUUGCAAGGUGUCGAUAAAAUAAGUACCAGUUGAGUACUGGAGUCAAGGAAAUCAACUUACCCACUCCAAAACUUGCUGACCUUGUGCCGAAAUUUAAAACGAAUAUAUUGGUAACCAUUAGAAGACUACAAGCAUGCACAUGGCUUGAAAUUUGCAGGAGGGGAAUAGCUGAAGACAUCGACCCCAGUACUCAACUGGUACUUAUUUUAUUGAACCCAAAAGGAUGAAAGGCAAAGUCGACCAUAGCAGAAUUUGAACUCAGAAUGCAAAGAUGGAUAAAAUACUGCCAUGCAUUUCGCCCAGCGUGCUAAUGAUUCUGCCAGCUUGUCACCUUAUUUCAAUCACUAAUAAUGAUUUCUGAUUUAGGUACAAUGCCAGUAAUUUUGAAGGGAGAAGAACAGUAGAUCUUAUUUGUGUAUAUGAGGGCACAUAUAUAUAUAUGAAGAGGCAUGGUAGAUCUUGUAUGUGUAUGUGAGUAUAUAUAUA